UACAGAGACUGCAAGCGUUAUUCGGAUUCACUGGGCGUAAAGGGUGCGCAGGCGGCCGUGUGUGUUGGGCGUGAAAGCCCGGGGCUUAACCCCGGAAUUGCACUCAAAACUACAUGGCUAGAGCAUUGGAGAGGGUAGCAGAAUUCAUGGUGUAGCAGUGAAAUGCGUAGAUAUCAUGAGGAAUACCAGAGGCGAAGGCGGCUACCUGGACAAUUGCUGACGCUCAGGCACGAAAGCGUGGGGAGCAAAAGGG
rnacentral:rRNA from 1 species